CGGUGUAGGUCUAAUUUCUCGGAAACAGUUUCAGUCAAUGCUGGGCCGAAACCUCUUAAACUCAUUAAGUAGCGUUCUUGGAGAGUUGAAAUCUCAUUUCAUUGAUGAUGUAUUGCGCUGCGUGUUGGUUAAGAUGAAGCAAGGAGAAAACCAUUGACGAUGUAUUGUGAUGCAUGUUUCAGUCAACUUGUUGGACAACUGUACACGUAUGUGUUUUUUCAAGCCCACUGAUUUCAGCCUCUCCGUCUCCUUCAAGCCGAUGAGAAGUUCAGGGAUAUUCCUGGGAGUGCCUAUUAUGUGGCUCCGGAGGUGCUGAAGCGGAUAUAUGGAGCCGAUAAUUGCAUAUGGAGUGCUGGAGUUAUACUCUACAUUCUGCUGUCUGGCAUUCCUCCUUUUUGGGCAGCAGGGCAGAUCCUCCUGUGAAGCAUAAAUUUCAU